GAUGAACGCUGGCGGCGUGCCUAAUACAUGCAAGUCGAGCGAACAGACGAGGAGCUUGCUCCUCUGACGUUAGCGGCGGACGGGUGAGUAACACGUGGAUAACCUACCUAUAAGACUGGGAUAACUUCGGGAAACCGGAGCUAAUACCGGAUAAUAUAUUGAACCGCAUGGUUCAAUAGUGAAAGACGGUUUUGCUGUCACUUAUAGAUGGAUCCGCGCCGCAUUAGCUAGUUGGUAAGGUAACGGCUUACCAAGGCAACGAUGCGUAGCCGACCUGAGAGGGUGAUCGGCCACACGGGAACAGAGACACGGUCCAGACUCCUACGGUAGGCAGCAGUAGGGAAUCUUCCGCAAUGGGCGAAAGCCUGACGGAGCAACGCCGCGUGAGUGAUGAAGGUCUUCGGAUCGUAAAACUCUGUUAUUAGGGAAGAACAAAUGUGUAAGUAACUAUGCACGUCUUGACGGUACCUAAUCAGAAAGCCACGGCUAACUACGUG
rnacentral:rRNA from 1 species